rnacentral:rRNA from 1 species
UACAGAGGUCCCGAGCGUUGUUCGGAUUCAUUGGGCGUAAAGGGUGCGUAGGCGGUCUUCUAAGUUUGAUGUGAAAUCCCGGGGCUUAACCCUGGAAUUGCAUUGAAUACUGGAGGACUAGAGUACCGGAGAGGAAACUGGAAUUUACGGUGUAGCAGUGAAAUGCGUAGAGAUCGUAAGGAAGACCAGUGGCGAAGGCGAGUUUCUGGACGGUAACUGACGCUGAGGCACGAAGGCCAGGGGAGCAAACGGG